rnacentral:rRNA from 1 species
GUGCCAGCAGCCGCGGUAAUACAGAGGGUGCAAACGUUGCUCGGAAUCAUUGGGCGUAAAGCGCACGUAGGCGGUCUGUUAAGUCGGGUGUGAAAUCCCCAGGCUCAACCUGGGAAGUGCACUCGAAACUGGCGGGCUUGAAUAUGGAAGAGGGUCGCGGAAUUCCCGGUGUAGAGGUGAAAUUCGUAGAUAUCGGGAGGAACACCAGUGGCGAAGGCGGCGACCUGGGCCAAUAUUGACGCUGAGGUGCGAAAGCGUGGGGAGCAAACAGGAUUAGAUACCCCCGUAGUCC